GUCUCUGUGGCGCAAUCGGUUAGCGCGUUCGACUGUAAACUGAAAAGGUGGUGGUUCAAGCCCACCCAGGGACG
rnacentral:tRNA from 2 species